GUGAGAUGAUUUUUAUAUUAAAUAAAAUAGAAAAAUCCUCCUAUGUUGUAUUAAAAAUACAGCAGUAUUAUUAAAAACGUAUUUUUAUUUCAUAUCUUGUAGUUCUUCGACCCUAAUGAUCCACGGGAAGGAGGUAUAAACGAAGAAUAUAACAAUAUUAUGUUGUUGGGAGUUUGACAUUUCAACAUCACCAACAUCCCAAAUAGUCAAGAUGAUGAGUUGGAUAGUGCACUUCCACCAACAGAUUACAUCAGCCAACUGAUUGUAGCUGUUUUAAUUUACCAAUAAAUCCUGUUUGCCCUGACACACAUUCAUACACACCAAAUGAUGGAAGAAGCACCCAGUGAUAGCAUUGUAGAGAAUGAAAUGGAGGCGAUUCAGCACUAUCAUGACACUAUAUAUAAAUGUACUGACUACUGUGUGAUGCAUUGCAAGGAUUUAUACUGAUCAACCAGUUAUCUAUGCUUAAAUGAUCAACCAGUUGUCUAUUAUUUCACUCUGCCUAACGCCAGAUUAUUUUACUGUCUAACACUAGACUAUUUACUCAUCAGGGGGAGAGUACUGACACUCAAAUACUCAAUGGGUUAAAAAACAUUGAAACAAAAUGUUUAGCAGAAGCUGCAAAAUUGUAUAUUGAUGUCUGGUGUAAUACUGACAUUUCUUUUUUUUUAGUAAGGAUAGAGCUGGGGUACCUGUAGUGGUACAGUCUUGGCCCUACCCCGGUUUUCCUGUACUGCGUGUGUUUUCGUCACUUCCCUGAUUGAGUCGUUCCAGAAAAGAUCCAUACUCCCCCCACGGAGGAAAGUUCUGCCGUCCGGAGGAGGGGGGGUUUGUUUCUGAUAAUAGUAAAUGUAUUAGGACAUCCGAAGGGGGUAGGGGGGUUAACUUCCUAUUUCCUCUGUGGGGGUGGUAUGGAUGUUUUCUGGAAUGGCCCAUUAUACCAUAAGUAUUGUAUCCCAUGGACACCAUCUUAUCAGUUCUGCAGUUUUUUGACAAUCUACCGUAAACCUCCAUCUAUAAGCACUGGGCUUAUAUUCUUUCAUAAGUGAUUUUUGAUGGGCUUACACAAGGGGGCUUAUACACGGGGGGGGGGGGCUUAUAUUCUGAGGUU